ensembl:lncRNA
GUCAAAGUCACCUGAUUAGUUUGUUAUAACACGAGAAAUCACCUGGAAUCAUGUGUGGCAGCGAUUUGUGGAAUCCUUCCAGGCUGUUGCUUCCACGCAGACAUUUGUAAUGGGGCACGUCCACAUUAUUGAUAGUUGUGCUACGCGCCACCCUAUACAUGUUCAUGCCUGGUGGAUCCUGGAUGCACUCCAGCUGGCCUGCCCACAUCUCAUCGAUAGCCUCUGUGUUUUGAAGAGGCUAACUCCGCUCUCGUCCAGCCCAACGGGACCUUUCAUCUCCUCGAUGGCUGGAUGAGCCGAAAGGUCUCCUGAGCACCGAGUGUAACCCUCCUCACAUGGUGCUUGAGCUGAUCCCUGGAGAUGUGGCAGCGGACAAUGUCCUCGUCCGAGACUCUCCGGGUUCUUGGCUCUGAUGGCUUUCAUGAGCAGCUCCAGGUCCGGGCGGUUGUGGGCCAAAACUGCCCCAGCUAGAGCAGACUUGAACACUGCAUACUUACAGUGGGACUCCGCGUCAAAUCUGUGGAUCCAGUGGAAGAUGUCCAGCCGCACUCCUGUUGUGCCCUGAGACCGGCAACACCCACGGUCCACGUAGAGGAGCUUCUGGACAGGCUGACUGGCCAGCCGGAACCUCUCCAUGACUCCACUGCACAUGGGCGUGAGCCGCGGAGUGGACUCCUCACAAGUCAGCACAAAGGUCACUAUCUGAAGGCAAGACGCAAGAGCCGCGCAGAGGGAAGUUCUCUCGGAGCAGGUGGAGCUUGGAAUUCGUGGCCUAAUGCAGAGACGAUCCCACCUGGUUCAGCUACGGUCAUGAGGAGUGUGGUGUACAGGUCCUUAUGUUGAAAAUACUCCUCAACAUGACUCUCCUGUACCUGCCUCCACACCUUGACCAUAGUGUUGCCUUCUGUCCUGUCCCUCAGAAGGCGGACCACGUUCUCA